GGGCCCGUCGUCUAGCUUGGUAGGAUGCGGGGUACACAGGACCCCGUGGUCCCGGGUUCAAAUCCCGGCGGGCCCACCA
rnacentral:tRNA from 1 species